UGUGAGACAAAGCAUAAGGUCUGCUAACCAUUUUUUAUCCUUCUAAGUUCUAAUCCAUCAACCCCUUUUCUUCCUGUUUUCAGAUUUUGUUUAUCACUGACCCUUUUUUUAAAAAGUUUCAAUAUUUUUUCAGUCCUCAUAGUUAUAUCUCAUCCAUCCACUAAACUACUAAUACCUUUUUAAUGUGAUUUCACUUCAAGGAGUAUCUUCUUUCUUGGAGUUUGGCUAGAUCUUUGUCUAUUUGAGUCUUGCUGAAUAGUUUAGUGAACCCCAUCUGAAAGAAACAAUCAAGGUUGCUUGCAGAAAUAUGAAGAGGAUCAGGACCAAAAGUGAAACAUGAGACUACAUGGAAAAGAUUACAAGGAGAUCAUCGCUGCAAUGAAAGCUAUAAGCAAUGAGUUAUUAGUGCUAGUUUCUUGAAGGACCUUCCCUCAUUCACCAUUAAUAGCUAGAGACUCUUAUAUCUUCAUUACUGUUACUUUUCCGUUGAAGAGCUUACUAGUAUGUGGAAUCCAACAAAAUAAGUUACAUCAAUUGUACAUAUGCAAUUGCAUUUUUGCUCGAUAUAUAGGUGUAUCCUCCUUUGUUGGAUUUACAAAUGAUCGAAAGAGUACAAUUUUUCAGGUAUAUGCUUAUCAUCUUUUUGCUUUUAGUUACCAUCAUGUGUAUGUUAUACAUUUGCAGCUUGGCCUGAAAUGUUUCUGUAGAUAAUCUUCAAAAUAUAUAAUAAAUUAACGCAGGCGAA